rnacentral:rRNA from 1 species
AUUGAACGCUGGCGGCAGGCCUAACACAUGCAAGUCGAGCGGAUGAAGGGAGCUUGCUCCUGGAUUCAGCGGCGGACAGGUGAGUAAUGCCUUGGAAUCUGCCUGGUAGUGGGGGAUAACGUCCGGAAACGGGCGCUAAUACCGCAUACGUCCUGAGGGAGAAAGUGGGGGAUCUUCGGACCUCACGCUAUCAGAUGAGCCUAGGUCGGAUUAGCUAGUUGGUGGGGUAAAGGCCUACCAAGGCGACGAUCCGUAACUGGUCUGAGAGGAUGAUCAGUCACACUGGAACUGAGACACGGUCCAGACUCCUACGGGAGGCAGCAGUGGGGAAUAUUGGACAAUGGGCGAAAGCCUGAUCCAGCCAUGCCGCGUGUGUGAAGAAGGUCUUCGGAUUGUAAAGCACUUUAAGUUGGGAGGAAGGGCAGUAAGUUAAUACCUUGCUGUUUUGACGUUACCAACAGAAUAAGCACCGGCUAACUUCGUG